AAGCUGAUAUUCUAACUAAACUAUUCCCUG
rnacentral:tRNA from 3 species